UCUGUCCUGGGGCCACUGUUGUUCAGUCUAUAUAUCAAUGACCUCCCAUCCGUGUGUGAUGGUGUAGGUGUGCAGAUGUACGCUGAUGACACUGUCAUUUACACGGAUGGGAAGGACUCUGAACAAGUGGCAGCCAAAUUAUCAUUGGCUAUGGAUAAAAUAGCUUAUG